GUGAUGGGAUGUACUGAAGUUUCUUCUUCUUGGCCCCCUUGGGAGCAUAGGGCGUCCACCAUGGAUCUCCACCUCACUCUCUUCUGUGCAGUGGUCUUUGCUUCUUGCCAGGAGGUCCCGAUCUUGUUUAGCUCGUCGAGCAUAGACCGUCUCCAGUUGUUUUUUGGUCUCCCUGGCUUCCUCUUUCCUUGUGGGUUGUAGGGAUCGGAAGAGAGACGUGUAGGGAAA